GGCAACAUUGCUGCUCUGCUCAAGGUGUGUCAGCUGAAACGAGGAUUACUAGAUACCAGUGUUCAACACCGAUAAGACUGUAAGUCUUUAACAACCUAAGCAUGGGCCGUGUGACCAGAUGGGUUCGAUCAGCCGUACAGGUGUUCAGGACUUGCAUUAGGGUACCCGCAGAAUACCAGGAGAAGUACCAGGAGAAGAAGAGGAAGAAGAAAAGGGCCUCCGCCUCUGGCUGUUCAGACGAAGAGGAAAGGAAGGGUGUAAAACAUCAUUACCACGGCUAACAUCAAG